rnacentral:rRNA from 1 species
AUGGAUAAGUUUCUUCUCAAAAGAAAGGCCACAUCACAAGUUACUCCAGAAGACAUAAAUUGGGAGGAGGAGAUUCAAUAUGACCCAGGCAAGAGGAAACUGAUAGAACAUUAUCAUCCAAAUUUGAAAGAUCUGGUAAGAAGAAAAUACUUGCUUAAUGGACCUUGUCAGCCAAAGGAUGUUGAUUUUCCAUAUUCAAGUUUUGGGGCUAAGAGGAGAAGAUUCAAUCCUGAAUGGUAUAAAGAUCAUGGAAGUUGGGAUCGCAGCCACAAGAAAGAAGCUGGGUAUGAGGCAUUUGUUCUGAAUGGUUGGGAUACUUGGAGCAUUCCAACAAGGCUAAAAGAUCAUGUUGGUGAGCCAGGUAGCGUCCAUGAUCAAGCAAUGAAAAAAUGUACUGCUUUACUAAAAAGAGAU